CAGCAGCCGCGGGAAUACGGAGGGCGCGAGCGUUACCCGGAUUUACUGAGCGUAAAGGGCGUGUAGGCGGCCUGGGGCGUCCCAUGUGAAAGGCCACGGCUCAACCGUGGAGGAGCGUGGGAUACGCUCAGGCUAGAGGGUGGGAGAGGGUGGUGGAAUUCCCGGAGUAGCGGUGAAAUGCGCAGAUACCGGGAGGAACGCCGAUGGCGAAGGCAGCCACCUGGUCCACUUCUGACGCUGAGGCGCGAAAGCGUGGGGAGCAAACCGGAUUAGAUACCCGAGUAGUCCCUGUCUCUUAUAC
rnacentral:rRNA from 1 species